rnacentral:rRNA from 1 species
ACGCUGGCGGCAGGCUUAACACAUGCAAGUCGAACGGUAACAGGAAUUAGCUUGCUAAUUUGCUGACGAGUGGUGGACGGGUGAGUAAUGCUUGGGAAUCUGGCUUAUGGAGGGGGAUAACUACGGGAAACUGUAGCUAAUACCGCGUAAAAUCUUCGGAUUAAAGGGUGGGACUUUCGAGCCACCUGCCAUAAGAUGAGCCCAAGUGGGAUUAGGUAGUUGGUUAGGUAAAGGCUGACCAAGCCGACGAUCUCUAGCUGGUCUGAGAGGAUGACCAGCCACACUGGAACUGAGACACGGUCCAGACUCCUACGGGAGGCAGCAGUGGGGAAUAUUGCACAAUGGGGGGAACCCUGAUGCAGCCAUGCCGCGUGAAUGAAGAAGGCCUUCGGGUUGUAAAGUUCUUUCGGUGACGAGGAAGGUUGAUAGGUUAAUAGCCUAUCAAAUUGACGUUAAUCACAGAAGAAGCACCGGCUAACUCCGUGCCAGCAGCCGCGGUAAUACGGGGGGUGCGAGCGUUAAUCGGAAUAACUGGGCGUAAAGGGCACGCAGGCGGUGACUUAAGUGAGAUGUGAAAGCCCCGAGCUUAACUUGGGAAUUGGAUUUCAUACUGGGUCGCUAGAGUACUUUAGGGAGGGGUAGAAUUCCACGUGUAGCGGUGAAAUGCGUAGAGAUGUGGAGGAAUACCGAAGGCGAAGGCAGCCCCUUGGGAAUGUACUGACGCUCAUGUGCGAAAGCGUGGGGAGCAAACAGGAUUAGAUACCCUGGUAGUCCACGCUGUAAACGAUGUCGAUUUGGGGAUUGGGCUUUGAGCUUGGUGCCCGUAGCUAACGUGAUAAAUCGACCGCCUGGGGAGUACGGCCGCAAGGUUAAAACUCAAAUGAAUUGACGGGGGCCCGCACAAGCGGUGGAGCAUGU